UAUAGCAGCAAUAUCACCUGCGGUUCAGACCACAUAAUUUAUCUAGUGCCCAGUACUUGGAUGGAAGUCCAACUGGUAAAGCUGGGUUGCUGCUGGAA
rnacentral:rRNA from 1 species